CCUACGGGUGGCAGCAGUGAGGAAUAUUGGUCAAUGGGCGCUAGCCUGAACCAGCCAAGUAGCGUGAAGGAUGACUGCCCUAUGGGUUGUAAACUUCUUUUAUAUGGGAAUAAAGUGCAGUAUGUAUACUGCUUUGCAUGUAACUUAUGAAUAAGGCUCGGCGAAAUCCGUGCCAGCAGCCGCGGUAAUACGGAGGAUCGGAGCGUUUUCCCGAUUUCUUGGGGUUAAAGGGGGCGUAGGCGGGUUGUUAAGUCAGUUGUGAAAGUUUGCGGCUCAACCGUAAAAUUGCAGUUGAUACUGGGAUCCUUGAGUACAGUAGAGGUAGGCGGAAUGCGUGGUGUAGCGGUGAAAUGCUUAGAUAUCACGAAGAACCCCGAUUGCGAAGGCAGCCUGCUGGACUGUAACUGACGCUGAUGCUCGAAAGUGUGGGUAUCAAACAGGAUUAGAUACCCCUGUAGUC
rnacentral:rRNA from 1 species